GAAAUGGCAAUGGAAAGGAUACUCAUGUUUCUGUUUUCUUAAGAUUGGCUAAUCCAGAAAAGCCAUCUCCUGGCUCCCAAUUAAUCACAGAGUAUACUCUGCGAAUCGUAGAUCAAUUGAACGCCAAGCAUAAGAGUCUGAAAUCGGGUUAUACCUGGUUCAAUGCCUUGACUCCGGCUUGGGGUAGGCAGACUUUCAUUAAAUUGGGCACCUUCAAAAUGUCAAACCAGAGUUAUUUGGUGAAUAAUGCUCGGGGUGGAGGCAGAGGUCACUGUCCAUGGAAUUGCUAAAACAUUAGAACCAGGUAAAGCUUAAAAUGCUAGAUCUGGAGAUAGGAAGACGAAGAAGAUGUGGGUUGUAAAUUAUGGUAUUGUCAUGAGGGACUUUGUUGUAAAUUAAGUGGGUUGUACUAAAAAUUAGUAAAAUACGUAGAUGCUCAAGACUUGUGCAAAAGAAUGAUUGUAAUAAAAAUUUAGAAGCUUUGGUUUAUAGUCA